rnacentral:sRNA from 1 species
UGAUCGCUGGGUUUCGAUAUUAGAGGUC